rnacentral:rRNA from 1 species
GAUGAACGCGGCGGCGUGCCUAAUACAUGCAAGUCGAGCGAGAAGCUUGGAAAUGACGCUUCGGUUGAUUUUCCAAGCGGACAGCGGCGGACGGGUGAGUAACGCGUAGGCAACCUGCCCCUGACAGAGGGAUAGCCAUUGGAAACGAUGAUUAAAACCUCAUGACACCGUAGUAGCACAUGCUACAUCGGUCAAAGAUUUAUCGGUCAGGGAUGGGCCUGCGUCUGAUUAACUGGUUGGUGAGGUAACGGCUCACCAAGGUGACGAUCAGUAGCCGACCUGAGAGGGUGAUCGGCCACAUUGGAACUGAGACACGGUCCAAACUUCUACGGAAGGCAGCAGUAGGGAAUCUUGCACAAUGGGCGAAAGCCUGAUGCAGCAACGCCGCGUGAAGGAUGAAGGCCUUCGGGUUGUAAACUUCUGUUCUAAGGGAAGAAAGAAAUGACGUACCUUAGGAGCAGCC